GACGAACCGUGCGAACGUUGUUCGGAUUCACUGGGCUUAAAGGGCGCGUAGGCGGGCAAGCAAGUCCGGGGUGAAAUCUUUCGGCUCAACCGGAAAAGUGCCUUGGAUACUGCUUGUCUUGAGGGAGGUAGGGGUCAUGGGAACUUCCGGUGGAGCGGUGAAAUGCGUUGAUAUCGGAAGGAACGCCGGUGGCGAAAAGCGCAUGACUGGAUCUCUUCUGACGCUGA
rnacentral:rRNA from 1 species